rnacentral:rRNA from 2 species
UACGAAGGGGACUAGCGUUGUUCGGAAUUACUGGGCGUAAAGCGCGCGUAGGCGGAUCGCUAAGUCAGGGGUGAAAUCCCAAGGCUCAACCUUGGAACUGCCUUUGAUACUGACGAUCUGGAGAUUGGGAGAGGUGAGUGGAAUUCCGAGUGUAGAGGUGAAAUUCGUAGAUAUUCGGAGGAACACCAGAAGCGAAGGCGGCUCACUGGCCCAAUACUGACGCUGAGGCGCGAAAGCGUGGGGAGCAAACAGG